rnacentral:lncRNA from 1 species
UGAUGGUUCCUAAUACUUCACAUUAGAAGAACUCGAAUUUGAUGACCAGUUUGAGAAACACCAGUAUAUCCAGAUUACAAGAAAAAGCGAGUCAAAAGGAUGAUCAUGAAUAUAACAACUUCGAGGAAACAUUUAACCAAAGACCAAAGCUUUUUAAACAACUGAGAGUUUUUAUAAGAAAAAGACCUCAUACAGUAGUCCCCACUUAUUCAUGGGGGAUACAUUUCAAGACCCACAGAGAAGGCCUGAAAUCACUGAUGUACCAAACCCUAACCAGGUUCUUAGGAUGAGCUACUAAAUGACAAAUGGUGUUCCUCCCACUCCUCAAGAGGAUGCAGUGUUCAAGGUGCCAUCUUAGAAGCAGAGACUGGGCCCUUUCCAGACACCAAAACCUGCCAUCACCUUGGACUUCUCAGCCUCUAGAACUGUGAAGAAGCACUGAUUUGUUCUUGCUGGAACUGGCAACUACACUGGAGAGGGAAUUUUGGUCUGUUGCCAAGGCUGGAGUGCAGUGGUGCAAUCUCAGCUCGCUGCAACCUCCCUCUCCUGGGUUCAAAUGAUUAUCCUGUAGCAGCCUCCUGAGUAGCUGGGAUUACAGGCACACACCAUUACACCCAGUUCUAGGAAGAAAAUAAAUAGAGUGCCACAAAGUAAAGAACAGAUAUGCAAACCUGGAUGGCAGGGUCAUGGAAGGCUCUUCAAGGAGGUACUACUUAAGCAGUUUGGAUACAUAUUUAAAGGCCUCAGAUUUUUCAGCUGCAGAGAUGCUGUCAAUCACUGAUCUUCACCAAACUUCAGUAGAUUCCUCAUCCAACCUCUUCACAGACCUUCCUCCCAAAGGUAAAUUGAAGGCCAGAGACAGGAAUUUGCCUAAAUCACAGAGUCUCACUUUGUCAUCCAGUCUGGAGUGCGAUGGCAUGAUCUCAGCUCACUGCAGCCUCCGUCUCCCGGGUUCAAGCAAUUCUCCUGCCUCACCCUCUCUAGUAGCUGGGAUUACAGAGCAUCAAAAUAUUAUUUUUGUUUAUGUGGCCCCAGGACAGAUGAAACUUGUACUGGUGCAAAAAUCCAUCCCAGUCAUAACCAUUAGUCAUGAAGUCUAGAGUUCAUUUGAUGCAAUAUUUAUUGAUCAUCUAUAAUUUGUGAAAGUGUUGUCAGGUUAUUAAUCUGUAGUUCCUACCACAAAUAUUUAAACGCAGUACUAGAGUAUUAUUUAAUGGAAUUCUAUCAUAAACCAAUGCAUCCCUCCUG